rnacentral:lncRNA from 1 species
GGCGCGCUCGUCACAGACUGGUUCCCCAACUGAAUCUUGAGAGAUCAUAACAUAACCACAUUACGUUCUUCUGUGCUUUUUCUGACUUCGACAAAAUAUAAUUUUAUAUUAAUAAAUAUAAUUUAUCAAUUAAUAAAUCUUGGUCUGGGAUGGCGCAUGGCGGUUAUUAAUUAAUUCCCGGCGUUGUUUGUGGUAUACUGAAUACUAGUAUGAACAAAUUGAUUUAUUGGUUCUACAACGAGAUGUAUUAUGAUUUUCCGACAAGAAUCGCAGAAAAAAAGAAAAAAAUUGUGGUGGUUUGGAAAACAUCUAAAUAUGUAUAUCCACUCAACUCUCAUCAUAAUCUAUCUCAUCUCCCUCGCACAAGCCUAGUGCUCAUGAUGGCAGCAUCCUCAGAAAACUGAUAUGAGUUUGAGGGGAAAUGUGGGUGGACGCUUUGGUUGAGCGGACUAAUACUUAAAGAGAUGAAGGCGUAUCUGGCAAUGGAUUGGUGUCUUCUUCCAAUGGCGACUGCUGAUUGAUGACGUCAUAACAUGGUGAUGUCUCAGAUACUUUGAACUGGUGUCAUCUCAGCUCAGAAGACAUCUUUCGGUGAUGCCAACAACUGCUGCCAUCGCAGGUGAUGUCAUGCAAAUUUCAACUGAUGACGUCACAGAAGACAUCUAUAGGUAACAUAGCGGAUAUCUAUAGCUGACGACGUUGUAGGACACAUUAUGGAAAUUUCUACUUCACAAGGAGUAGAUCAACUUCAAAACGGUAACGUUGAUAUUUCUUCAUUUUUUAAAAGAAAUUAGUCGCUAACCACCAAGAUGCAGCAGAGAUGUCAUCAUCAUCAUCAUCUUCAGAAGUCUACAACUUCGUUUCUACUCUUUAGAUGAUUUCUAAUUUAAGAUUUAACUAUUUCUAAUGUAGGCUAUGAUGAUAUUGUAUUGAUCCAAGUCAAAAACACACUACAGUAUAGUGACAUCAUUAUGAAGGGUUUUCAUUCAAGUUAUCUAUUCAAUUGAUUGGUUAUAUUUGGGAUUUUUAUGUGAUGUGACAACUGUAUGGUGUUUCUGGCUUAUUGUUAGGUUGUGACUGAAUUUAUAUAUUUUUAAAAUUCACAGGUAAUAAUUUCAAUCAUAGAGAAGGGAGGAAAUUAGUCUUUUUCUGAUUAUGAUAGAUGAUAUUUUGCCUUCUAAGCCAUUACAGCAAUCGGUUAACCGAUUUGUAGUCUGCAUCGAGUUGUAACUUGCAGACUAAUAAUACUUUCCAUCGCAUCAAAAGUCAUUCCACUUUGAAUUUUUCCCCACAUGAAACCAGGCCCUCUUUGUACCAUUUAAAUAGCACUGUCUCUAGAAGCACCAAUCACAACGUCUCGCACUCCUCUGUCAAUAGCCGUUUUUGUUUGCUUUACUUUUGAUUUGACAUUUUUCAACGCCCGGCCCGGGCAAGAUAUUUAUCUCGGGCCACUCCCGUAUUUCCGUCGGUCCCGGCUGUCUAAAAAGCAGUCGUUAGGUCAUGUCAGAGGCCCUGAAAUUGAUCAGUUGCGACCUGAAAACUCUGACACCAGACCUGAGCCAGCCAGGUCACUCGAUAUCAUUAUUUUUCAACGCCGUCGAAUCAAAAUCAUUUGUAGUAGUUAGUGAGCCACGUUUACGUGUGCUACAUUUGUAAAACCAUUACUGAUAUCAGUAGGAUCAGAUACGUAUGAAGAGUCCUUCUUAUUUACAGUAGUAAAUCAACCAGCUGUAAUC